rnacentral:tRNA from 1 species
UUAAUUGAAACCAAAAAGAGGUUAAUCAUUGUUAAUGAUUCUAAUGAAAUAAUUUUCCAAUUAAA